AAUAGGAUUCCCUUAGUAAUGGCGAAUGAACAGGGAUCAGCUCAGUAUGGAAAUCGGGGCUUCCCAGCCUUGAAUUGUAGUCUCAAGAGGUAUCGCCAACGGAGGCGCAGAUGUAAGCCUCUUGGAAAAGAGCAUCAAUGAGGGUGAGAAUCCCGUUUGUCAUCUGCAGUCCCCCGUGCACGGUGUAUCUUCUAAGAGUCGCGUUCCUCGGGAUUGGAGCGUAAAGUGGGUGGUAAAUUUCAUCUAAGGCUAAAUAUGGGUUCGAGACCGAUAGCAAACAAGUACCAUGAGGGAAAGAUGAAAAGGACUUUGAAAAGAGAGUUAAAAGUGCCUGAAAUUGCUGAAAGGGAAGCGAAUGGAACCAGUGCUCUUGGCGAGAUUGUUGUGCGCUAUGGUGAUUGCUGGCUGCUUCAGCGCAAGCGGGGUAGUUGGUACUGAGCCUGCCGCGCGCAGUGUUUCUUACCUUGUGCGUCACCGUCGGUUCACAGGCGAGGAUACUUCUGAGGACAUGGUAACUCUUCCACGGAGGUGUGAAUGUCUUUGGUAAUACUCGUUUGUAGACCGCUCACCUUCGGGUUACGAUGACUAAAUGGUUCUAUUCGACCCGUCUUG
rnacentral:rRNA from 1 species